rnacentral:rRNA from 1 species
CACGUAGGGAGCAAGCGUUGUCCGGAUUUAUUGGGCGUAAAGAGCUCGUAGGUGGUUCGGUAAGUCAGGUGUGAAACCUCCAGGCUCAACCUGGAGACGCCACUUGAUACUGCUGUGACUGGAGUCCGGUAGGGGAGCGUGGAAUUCCUGGUGUAGCGGUGAAAUGCGCAGAUAUCAGGAGGAACACCAGCGGCGAAGGCGGCGCUCUGGGCCGGCACUGACACUGAGGAGCGAAAGCGUGGGUAGCAAACAGG